AUGCAUCAUCAAAUAGAUAGCUUAUUUGAAUUGUUCAAAAAACUUUGUAGGCUCAACGAUGAUGCAUACAUGUCAACUAUGGGUGUUGGAUCCAACAAUUCGCAUUGGUCUCAAACCAAUGACAUCCAUUUCGAAGACCAUGAGUUUGAGGUGGACGAGGAGGGUGACGGCAUUAUCGAUGCACCGAAAGGAAGAGCGGGUAAUUACACCACCAAAGAUGGCAUCUUACUAUGCAAUACUUGGUUGCAAGUGUCGAGGGGUCCAUCCGUUGGAGGUGAUCAAAGUAGAGAUGCUUAUUGGGGGCGAAUGAAAGAACACUUUGAUGCUCACAACGUGAGUGGAAUUGGCCGCUCCGAGAGAUCACUUCGGUCCCGAUGGUCGGCAAUCAACUCGGAUUGUCAAAAGUGGGCGGCCGCACAAAAGGCAGUUGACAAGAUUAACCCAAGUGGCACAAAUGAGGAUGAUGGAGUAAGUGGCAUCUCAUACAUGUUCAUCAUACUUGUUUUUGGUGUCCGAAGUGCUAACUUGUUUUGUUUUUCUUGUAGUACAACAUUGCACAAAACUUGUUCAAAGUUGAGACGAGGACAACCAAGAAGGAGAAGAUCAAGAAAGGAAGGAUCUUUACCUUGCCUCAUUGCUACACUAGUAGAAAAACACCUAAUAGUCCCGGUUCGUAAGGGCCUUUAG
rnacentral:rRNA from 1 species